GAUAAACGCUGGCGGCGUGCCUUAUGCAUGCAAGUCGAACGAGAUCAGGGCUUCGGCCCGAAGUCUAGUGGCGGACGGGUGAGUAACACGUACGUGACCUGUCCGGAAGUGGGGAAUAACCAGCCGAAAGGUUGGCUAAUACCGCAUGUGGUUACUGCUUGGAAGCAGCAAACCAAAGUCGAGAGACGCUUCCGGAGGGGCGUGCGGCCGAUUAGCUAGUUGGUGUGGUAACGGCGCACCAAGGCGGCGAUCGGUAGCUGGUCCGAGAGGAUGGUCAGCCACACUGGGACUGAGACACGGCCCAGACUCCUACGGGAGGCAGCAGUAGGGAAUCUUCCGCAAUGGACGAAAGUCUGACGGAGCAACGCCGCGUGAGCGAAGAAGGCCUUCGGGUCGUAAAGCUCUGUUGUUAGGGAAGAACAAGUACGAGAGUAACUGCUCGUACCUUGACGGUACCUAACCAGAAAGCCACGGCUAACUACGUGCCAGCAGCCGCAGUAACAC
rnacentral:rRNA from 1 species